rnacentral:rRNA from 1 species
AUGCAGCUCGGUUUAGGUCAGAAAAGCAACAGGAUCAAUCAAAUGGAUCACACUAGCAACAUGUUGGCAAAUAAGCAUGCACCUGCGGAGCAGUUCAUCGGCGCUGUGACUUCGUCGUAUGCGCAGUGCGGCGAUGGCGCGGGACAGUCUGGGUGGCGGCGGCGUGUAAAAGCCUCACAAAGUUCAGACAGUCUGGGCGGCACCUUUGUUGGCGAAGAGCUUAGACGUGAAUGA